UUGUAGGCAGUUCGUGUGUGGAUCUCGUCAGCAUAUCGUCGCAAACAGCUGUGUAACUAAUAUCCUCUUUCUUAAUCUGGAUCGGCAAAAGUCGAAAAGCCGAAAUGCCAAAAACCGAUAUUUUGUAGAUUUGCGAGUGUGCGAAUGUUCGUGAGGUAAAUCGAUUAAUGUUUUUCGUAAGCUGUAAAAUUUGGACUGCAAAGUGCAUGAUUUCUGUGCCCUCAAUAUUUUUGGGCUUAAUGGGCCAAAAUUGGAAUGAUGGGCCAACGGGCCCAAUUCGGUAAGAACCCUCGGUACGUGAUUCUGUCAGUACGUGAAAAGUAGGAAUAUGCAUGAAAAACCCUAAAAUAGAUAAAUUACUGAAAUACCUUUAAAAGUGGAAAAUUUACAGUUUUACCCCUAGUAGAUAAAUUACUGAAAUACCCCUAUGGUUAAAUUGACCUAAAUGCAUGUUUGACUGUUGUUAUUUACUGCAUGCCAUGUUGUUAUUAUCUGAUGUAUGGGAUUGGGAUAUUGACGGAGGAAGUACUGAAAGUGGCUUGUCCACGUACUGGAGGCUUUGUCUCAAUUUACUGUUAACUGAGUAGCAAGGCUGCAACUGUGGAGUGUUGGGCUGUGUGGGUUGAGCUAUUCCCCACAUGGAGUGUAGGGCUGGUACGGGUGGAGUGUAGUGGUUGGUGGGUUGAGUAGUCUCCCCAAAUGGGCUUGCAUAUGUUAUUAAUGUUGCAUGUAUUUUGAAAUGGGCCUAUGGGCCAUAUUGUUAUCUGAAUAAGGGGCUAAGGCCCAGUUUAUUGUAAUCUGAAAAGGGCUCUGGCCCAGUACCACUGUUACCUAAAUGGGCUUAGGCCCAAUGGGCUGGAGCUGACUUGGGCUUUGAAUGGGUUUUCCUUACACACUGAGUUUCCCCAAACUCACCCCUUUUAUUUUCAUCCACGCAGGAAAUCCCCAACCAUAGUGGGCUUGGAGCUGUGAGGGAAUUUGGAGUGGCCACCCGUUCUGAAAGUUUGGUUUUCUUCUAGUGAACUGGACAUCCUAUUAUUUACGUUGAGGUUUGGG
rnacentral:lncRNA from 1 species